rnacentral:rRNA from 1 species
GGGUAGCGGAACACGUACGCAACCUUCCCAAAACUGGUGAAUAGCCCUCCGAAAGGAGGAUUAAUACACCGUACCAUAAUGAAGAGGCAUCUCUUUAUUAUUAUAGUAGCAAUACGGUUUUGGAUGGGCGUGCGCCUGAUUAGGUAGUUGGCGGGGUAACGGCCCACCAAGCCUGCGAUCAGUAACUGGUGUGAGAGCACGACCAGUCACACGGGCACUGAGACACGGGCCCG